rnacentral:rRNA from 1 species
AUGCUCCUUUCAUGGUCAGCAGUGGAUUCGUGGGUAGUGGUCCAGGAGCACUCCACACCAGCAGUGUUCCCUUUCAUGGUCAGCAGUGGAUUCGUGGGCCGGCCGGAGCACCGAGAGCGUCCCACGAGCACGGGGUUGAUCACAAAUUGCAAGCCAUGCCAUGCCAGACCUCCUCCUACUUCCCUGCUCGAUUCUCCUGCUCGUCGUCCUCCUCCUCCACCGUGCAUCCCGGAUCAAAGCGCUCCUCGCGAGGGCCAUCGACUCCAUCCUACCACCGGAUCACCUCUCCUCCACCGUCUUUGUCACGGACCGCGUCAUGGCGCACCGCCUCCUCGUGCGCAGCGGCUCCUUCUCCAACCGCCCGCCGUCCUUCUCUCCCAGCGCCAUCCUAUCGCGCCGCCGGCACCAGAACAUCACCUCGGCGCCCUACGGCCAGCACUGGCGCGCCCUCCGCCACAACCUCACGUCCGAGCUCCUCCACCCCGCGCGGCUCCGCCGGUACGCGCCCGCGCGCCGCCACGCGCUCCGCUACGCCCGAGCAGAGGCAGCAACAGCGUGGUCCAUGCGGCGGAGAGCAUCCGCUACGCCAUGUUCGGCCUGGUCGCCGCCAUGUGUUUCGGGGACGGCGUCGGCGGAAGCCGCGCCCGUGCCAUGGCCGACGCCCAGAGGGAGCUCGUCGAGUCCCUGGAUGCGGUGCGCGUGUUCGCGGAAGCCAAGGUCCCGGCGGUGGCUAGGCUGGUCCAUCGUGGCCGGUGGAACAAGUUGGCCGCACUGCGGCAGAAGCAGGAGGAGACGUACCUGCCGCUCAUCCACUCCCGCCGCGGCGGACACAGGCCAUCCAGCGAGCCGCCGGCGUACGUAGACACGCUCAUCGACCUCCGUGUCCCGGACGACGACGGCCGGAUCGCACAGAAGCCAGCAAGGCGGCGGCAGCGAAGGUUGUCUGAUGGUGAGCUUGUGGGCAUGUGCUCCGAGUUCCUCGGCGCCGCAACUGAAACGACGGCCUCGACGCUGCAGUGGGUCAUGGCCAACCUGGUGAAGCGCCCGGACAUGCAGGAGGCCGUCCGGAGGGAGAUCGACGACGCCGUCGGUACGGACGCCGAGGAAGUCAGCGAGGACGCCCUCAGGAGGCUGGACUACCUCAACGCCGUGAUCAUGGAGGCGCUCCGUCUGCAUCCCCCGACGUCAUUCGUGUUCAGGCAGGUGACGGAGGACGACCACGCCGUCCACGACGGCCGGCGCGUUCCGGCGGGCACCAAAGUGUGCUUCCCGCUGGCGUCUCUAGCAAAAGACGGGACGGCGUGGGCUGACCCGGACGAGUUCAAGCCACAACGGUUCCUCGCACCCUGCGGAGCCGGAGAUACGGGCCUCGUCGCGGCGGCCGGAAGCGACGACGGCGCCAUCAAGAUGAUGCCGUUCGGCGCCGGGCGGAGGAUGUGCCCUGGCAGGGGCAUCGCGAUGCUCCACAUAGGCUACUUCGCAGCCAACCUCGUGAGGGAGUUCCAGUGGAGGGAGGGGGAGGGGGAGCUCGCCGUCGAUCUCCGGCCGCAAGUGGAGUUCUUCACUGUCAUGAAGCGGCCAUUGCGUGCUUGCCUAGAGCUUCCAAGGAAAAACGAGAGUUAA